CCUACGGGUGGCAGCAGUGAGGAAUAUUGGUCAAUGGGCGCGAGCCUGAACCAGCCAAGUAGCGUGAAGGAUGACUGCCCUACGGGUUGUAAACUUCUUUUAUAAAGGAAUAAAGUGAGGCACGAGUGCCUUUUUGUAUGUACUUUAUGAAUAAGGAUCGGCUAACUCCGUGCCAGCAGCCGCGGUAAUACGGAGGAUCCGAGCGUUAUCCGGAUUUAUUGGGUUUAAAGGGAGCGGAGAUGGGUUGUUAAGUCAGUGGUGAAAGUUUGGGGCUCAACCGUAAAAUAGCAAUUGAUACUGGCAGCCUUGAGUACAGGUGAGGUAGGCGGAAUUCGGGGUGUAGCGGUGAAAUGCUUAGAUAUCACGAAGAACUCCGAUUGCGAAGGCAGCUUACUAAACUGCCACUGACAUUGAUGCACGAAAGUGUGGGUAUCAAACAGGAUUAGAUACCCGAGUAGUC
rnacentral:rRNA from 1 species